UACGAAGGGGGCUAGCGUUGUUCGGAAUUACUGGGCGUAAAGGGCUCGUAGGCGGCCAACUAAGUCGGACGUGAAAUCCCUCGGCUUAACCGGGGAACUGCGUCCGAUACUGGAUGGCUUGAGGUUGGGAGAGGGAUGCGGAAUUCCAGGUGUAGCGGUGAAAUGCGUAGAUAUCUGGAGGAACACCGGUGGCGAAGGCGGCAUCCUGGACCAAUUCUGACGCUGAGGAGCGAAAGCCAGGGGAGCAAACGGG
rnacentral:rRNA from 1 species